ACAAGCUGACGAAUCCCAAAUAGGACGAAACGCGCGUCUUAUAU
rnacentral:hammerhead_ribozyme from 1 species